rnacentral:rRNA from 1 species
CGUGGAGACAGGUGGUGCAUGGCUGUCGUCAGCUCGUGUCGUGAGAUGUUGGGUUAAGUCCCGCAACGAGCGCAACCCUCGUCCUUAGUUGCCAGCAUUAAGUUGGGCACUUUAAGGAGACUGCCGGUGUCAAACCGGAGGAAGGUGGGGACGACGUCAAGUCCUCAUGGCCUUUAUGCCCAGGGCUACACACGUGCUACAAUGGGCGGCACAAAGGGCAGCGACGCCGCGAGGUGUAGCAAAUCCCAAAAAGCCGGUCUAAGUUCAGAUUGGAGUCUGCAACUCGACUCCAUGAAGGAGGAAUCGCUAGUAAUCGCGCAUCAGCACGGCGCGGUGAAUACGUUCCCGGGCCUUGUACACACCGCCCGUCACACCACGAAAGUCUGCUGUACUCGAAGUCGCUGAG